rnacentral:piRNA from 1 species
UGAGUGUAAACCUGUGUACCUACUACGUCCC